rnacentral:rRNA from 1 species
GUCUACAGCCACACUACCCUGAACAAGCCCAAUCACAUCUGAUCUCGGAAGCUAAGCAGGGUCAGGCUUGCUUAGCACUUGGACGGGAGACCACCUAGGAAGACUAGGUGCUGUAGGCG